rnacentral:lncRNA from 1 species
UCGGGUUAGCUUGUGCACAUCUUGACCAUUCCAUCAACUACCUGUUAUAUCUCCUCUCGAGAUGUCCCUGAAUUAGGAUUGAUCAUAAUUUUAUCCUUCUCUUGCAGGCUUGGUAUAGUCUUUUGUUGAUCUUCCUGCAUAGUAAAGAGUCUAGCCAAACCAGUUACAGUGAUUCCAAUAGUUUCCUAUCCAUUGUUGUCUUUAUCGUUCUGGGUAUGGUCAUGUUGAGAUGCUUGUUCGUUUGCGGUUUGAGUCUCUUUAGA